rnacentral:rRNA from 1 species
AGAGUUUGAUCCUGGCUCAGGACGAACGCUGGCGGCGUGCUUCAUACAUGCAAGUCGAACGAGAAUCUGGUGCUUGCACCAGAGGACAGUGGCGGACGGGUGAGUAAUAUGUAGGAAAUCUGCCUUUAGGAGGGGGACAACAGAGGGAAACUUCUGCUAAUACCCCAUAUGAGCUAAGUUGAAAUACUUAUCUUGAAAACUCCGGUGCCUAAAGAUGAGCCUGCACCUGAUUAGCUAGUUGGUGGUGUAAUGGACUACCAAGGCGACGAUCAGUAGCUGGUUUGAGAGGAUGAUCAGCCACAAUGGGACUGAGACACGGCCCAUACUCCUACGGGAGGCAGCAGUAGGGAAUUUUGCGCAAUGGGGGAAACCCUGACGCAGCAACGCCGCGUGAACGAUGAAGCUUUUCGGAGUGUAAAGUUCUGUCAGUGGGGACGAAAUUUGACGGUACCCACAGAGGAAGCACCGGCUAACUCCGUGCCAGCAGCCGCGGUAAUACGGGGGGGUGCAAGCGUUGUCCGGAAAUCAUUGGGCGUAAAGAGUUCGUAGGUGGUAUGUUAAGUCUGGGUGUUAAAGCCCGAAAGCUCAACUU